UAGAUGGAACAUGGUGUUCCAAGCAGGUGUGAGGUUGAUCGAUGAAGGACAAGAUUUUGUUGUAAUUGUACAUUAUGCCGCACACCUAAUGUCUUAUCUAGGCUCUCGGAUGCUGUAAGGGAACUUGGGCCUGGAGAAUCAUCACAUGACAUACAGAAGCUAUGAUGACGAAGCUAGCUACAAGAAAAAGUGGUGUUAGUUUAGGUUGAUUGAAGUUGGCAUGGAAAACCAAGAUUCUUUUCGGAUUUUCCUGUUUACGUUUGAAAUUGAACAUGCAUGCCGCUAAUGUAGUUGGCAUUUUAAUGCAACCACUACCAAGGUACUAUUAGAAAAUGGUUGGAGCUAUCUUUCCUGCCUUCUGUGUGCCAAAAACAUUGUUGGUGACCUUCUUGAAGUGUGCAUCAGAUGUUGAAAUGCUCAUUCCAAGGUAGACGCGCCCUGCACUUUAGCUUUCUUUACCCGACUAUCUUCAUCCAUCCAUUCAUUUGACAUUUCAGUCAAGUCCUUUUUACAGCAAAGGUUUCUACUCCAUUUUAAAGUUGAAGACAUCACCGGCUCGGCAUCUUCGUAGCUCCUGAUAGUGAGGUCUAGAAAUAUGCAGGUAAGUGGUAACCCAACUUUUCUUAUCUUCCCUGAUUACCUUUUGAAUUCCAGCCUGUCGUGUCUCAACCAGCAUACGGUAACCUCACUUCAGCAAUCCACAAUUUCGAAGGAUAUUGCCAAAGAGGCGGUGAUGACAGAAUUCUCGCAGAUCCUCAAUAACACUGGAUUUCAUGAUAAACAACCAGGAGGCCGAAAUAUGGACUGACUGUGGAUUUUAUAAAUGAUUCGCUUCUUACCGACGAUGACUACCAACCAACAAAAACAGGUAAAACUAAGGACAGUACCAAUGGCAAAGCUAUCUUCUUCACAAAUGCUACGGGCUCUACCAAAUUUGUUACUUACGAAGGAAACAAAAGAAAGUUUUAUAUAUCUCUCAGAUAUUUGCGCUCUAUUGAAAGUAGGUCGAGAGAAAUAUUUCUGUUGUAUAGUAUUCCAUGAAGAUUGAAAACUUCAUUAUCUAAUUCAAGGCAUAUAUCUUCAAGUUUUGGAAGC